CUGGGUAUCCUGGCACCCAUAUUCCAUGCUGUGAAAUCAUUCAGUGUGAGAACUUGGACCUUAUGGCCCUCACCCAACAGCAGCAGCCGACAGUCGGAAUGACCACAGCUGUACAUCAAGCCUAUGGUGACUCAGGAAGGGGAUGCAUGCAGUGAAGGAAGCCGCUUCGAUCACAGUGGCUGACGAUGAACCCACCUGCCUGGGGAGCCAGACCUGGUUGUUGUACCUGGACCUUGGUACUGGUGAGCAAGACUGGAAAGUAUCCCAAAUAAAGGCAUUCAGAAGUGGAGGCACACACAGAUGACAGCUGAGAAUGUUCCCAUGAAGGGAUUCUAUCUCGCAUGAUCUCCACAGAGGUGAGGAUCAAGAUUCCUCUUUGCCAUCAGCACAUGUUUUUCCGAGAACCCAGCCACUCCAGAAAAUCUAUUUUAUUUGCAGAACUAUUGCAAAAUCUGACACUCCUCUUCACUUCACUGGAAUGCCCUUGUAAUUGCCAAACGUUGCCUUGCCUCGUGGAAAUUCUUGGCCAGACCUAUGGAUUGCCAGACCUUGCAGCUGUUGACCCUUGAAGUCCAGUUCUCCUAUAACAUGAAAUCCAGCAACGUUUCCUAAAGACCCAAUAAGAGUAGGCAGCUGAGCUAGUUACCACUGAAGGUAUGAAGCCCUCAAGCAGUGAAGAGUUUAUUCAAAAAUAAACAUGAAUACUUAAAUAGCAGGCACGGGCUUAUGUGACAAUUAUGAAUAGAAGAAAUAGCAAAGGCAUCAUACAGGAGGAAAAACGCCUAUAAGAACUCACUGGAGGGAGAGACAUCAAUCCUUCCUUUUAAACUAGAAGGCCAAGAGCCCAGGAUAGGAGGAGUUCACCGCGCUGUUUCCCUUCAUGUCAGCAUCUUGGAGUACAAUUAUGGAAAAGAUAAAAUGUUCCUGUUCCUCACCCAUCUCUUGUGUGCCUUGGGCUGCCUCUCCUGGAUUUCAGGUUAGCUCUUAACCUGAGGUUGCUUAAUGUCACCGUUGAGGUUUCAGCCCUGGGAAAGGUCCGCCUCCUCUCCACUGGUAAUUCUCGAUUAUGCCUGUACCCUUGUCGAUUUUGUUUUCAGGUUUUCUAAGACUUGGAAGCCCUGGACUGGGACCAGGUCAAUAAGAUACUGUUCGUGGGCCGGGCACGGUGGCACAAGCC